UGCUUGUUCCUGUGUGUGCUCUGGUUCCCAUGUUGUCCUGUGGCAGAGCUAGGGCCAUAGCAUCCAGAUAAUGUGGAGAUGG
rnacentral:miRNA from 1 species